UACAGAGGGGGCAAGCGUUGUUCGGAAUUACUGGGCGUAAAGGGCGCGUAGGCGGCCCGCUAAGUCGAACGUGAAAUCCCCAAGCUUAACCUGGGAACUGCCUUGGAUACUAUCAAUCUUGAAUAUCGUGGAGGGUAAGCGGAAUAUGUCAUGUAGCGGUGAAAUGCUUAGAUAUGACAUAGAACACCAAUUGCGUAGGCAGCUUACUACACGAUCAUUGACGCUGAGGCACGAAAGCGUGGG
rnacentral:rRNA from 1 species